rnacentral:lncRNA from 1 species
UUUCCCUCUCUAGGUAUCCAAGCCUCCAAUCUGGCUGCUGGAAUACAAGAUGCUCCUGUCCUUCAGGCUGCAAACUGCCUGGCUCUUGGUGGCUUCCACAGAAAAUAGCCCCUGGUUUCCUCUAAUGAGGAGACAUCACAGAAUGACCAAGUCUCCCAAGGAUUCUUCCUCCCUGAACAAAGUGAGCUCAGAGGGCUGGGGGCUACACCACGCCAGGCUCGGAUUCUGCCCUACAAAGAGACUGGGGGAGCUAGACAAGCCCACUUCCCCCACAGCGACUCAGACAAACAAAGGCAACCUGCAAGCGACUGACUUUGCUGUCUCGCGGAGUGAUUAAUCUCCCUGAAAUUAAUGGCCCCUCAAAGGCAGGCAGCUGCAGUGGCUGUGCGCAUCUGAAUUGCAGGAUUCCUCUGCAUGCGUGAAGACAUUUAACAGGACAGAUGACACGUUGUGGGUGCCCAUGGCCCUCAGGAACCCACACAACUUGACCAUAGGUUCCAUAAGCAUGCAGGAAUGGGGUCACCACCAUGGGGUUCCCUGCCUACCUCCUCCAUUCCCAUUAACAGAGGUAAAAAAGCUGUCCCUCAGAAGAGGAGCAAGCCUGCGGUGGAGAAGCUAAGUGACCUUGAGCAAGUGAGUGAGCCUGGGUCUUCUCCAGCAAAACCAGCACAUUGCUUUGGAGGACUAGGUCCUUUGUGUGCAGAGCAUCAUGCGGAAAUAAGAAAACAAAGAAAGCCCAGCCGUCUUACUUCAAUGCAUCUACAAACUUAUUGGGGGAAGGCUUUGGGGAUACGGAUUGAUUAUGGAAACCUGACAUUUUAGAGGCUGUUCGUCUGAGACCAGGGG